GUGAAUCCUGUAGGGUUAGAUUUAAUUUUCAAUAGUGGAUCUUGGAAAUAAAAAAAAUUGUCUAAUUAAUUGAAUUAUACAUUACUGGAUUAAUAGAAUUAUAUAUUACAUGUUUUUAUUCAAUUUUAAAUGUAAAAAUUGUACAAAUUAUUUUAUCAAAUUCAAGAAAACUACAGUAAUGUCAUAAUGCAUACAUCUCUGUAUUAGUAUACAGUAUACUGUUUAUAUAUUGUAAUAUUUUAUACUUAUUUCAAAUAAUCGUACUAUGCAUGUACAACCGAGUCUUAUCAGUUUGUGGUAUCACCAUUAACCUUUAAACUGCUCAAUUAAAUGGGAGUGUCUUUUUUUGUUCCCCCGUGAGCUUUCAGAGUUAUUAUAACUGCUGACAUGUUCUUGCUGGUUGCAAGAAUUCAUAAGCAGAAUCUAUAUUUUGCUCAUGGCCAUACUCGCAUUGUAAAUAAAAGUCACUACAAGCACACAUCUGACCAUCAUACAGCACUUAUACAUAUCAUUAGCAGCCACAGGUAUUCCUGUGCUGUAUGAUAAGGCAGAUUUAGGUACACGCCUCUGGAAUUGGUCUGAAAGAUGUUAAGGGGGGGGGGGGUCCUGUGGGUCACAAUCAAAAGAUCCCAGGUUCAAUUCCUGUGCAGGAUAGGGACGUUUGGGUAAGUCUCCUUUAACUUGAUACCUCUGUUCACUUAGCAGUGAAUAGGUACCCUGGAGUUAAGUAACUAUUGUGAACCAACAGCAUUGACCACUGCACCAUCAAAAUUCAUGUAUGGGAAGUUGGGUCAAUGAUUGUAUGAACAGUAGUAAAUAACAUAUGAAGGAAGAGCAGGGGCAAGGAUGACAUGGUCUAGAAGGAGAAAACCAAUAACUGUAGUGGGGAAAACAAUGAUUGUAGGAUUAGAUGGUUAAACAACGAUUUUAUGAUGAGCGGACAAUUACUGUAGAAUGAAUAUGGCAAAUAAUGAUUGUACAUGGAACAAAUAAAAUGACUGCAGAAUGGACAACUAGUGAUUGAAGGAGCAGUUGAAAACAGUACUUUUAGAAGGUGUAAUGAACGAAGACUGUAGGAGCAGCUGGGACAAAUAUGAUGACUGCAGAGAAGAUGAACUGGGAUUGUAGGAGCUGGGGCAAUCAUCAAGAGCAGAGACAAACUGUGAUAAUAGGAGCAGCAUCAGUGAUUGUAGCAGGAGCUGAGGCAAAUAAGGAUUGAGGAGAAAGGAUAAGCAAUGUACAGCAGGGAGGUGCACAAUGAUCAUAUGAGAAGCUGUACAUAUGUAAAACAUAUGUACAGCUAUUUUCUGCUGGGAAAUCAAAGGCAAACAAUGAUUGUAGCAUCACUGACUUUAGGCGUUAGUGGAGCAAUGACUAAGAGAAGCUCAGCUAAAUAAUAAUUAUAUAACCAGCUGGGUAAACAAUAUAAGAGUAUGUUGGGCAAAUGAAUGUAUAAAAAGUAAUGGUAAAUAAUGACUAUAGGGGGCAUGCAAACAAUGUGUGCAACAGGGGAAUGUAAACAAUGACUACGUGAAGUACGGUCAUUCAAACAAUUGCUGAAGAAGCAGGAGAUAUGAUUGAUGGAAGGCUGAUGCAGUUAUAAUAUAAUAAUUUUUUUAGGUAUACACGUAAUACAUAUAUAAAAUACAAGCAGAUUGUAGGAUUCAAAGGUAAGGCAAGUAUGAUGCCUAAAGCCACUAAUGCACCGAGUGUUUCAGGCAUAAUGUAGGUAUGGCAGGGGAAUCAGAGGAGAACAAAGGGUUGAGGAGAUGGGCAAACAUUGUAGGAGGAGCAGCAGCAGUAUUGUCUUCAGAAGCAGGGGCAAAUUGUAAUCAUGAGGGAAGGAUAAAAUAUGAUUGUAAGAAGUCUAAACAAUGAUUGUUAGAGAAAUGGGUCUAAACAAUGAUUGUUGGAGGAACAGGUGUAAACAAUAAUUGCUCAAAUAUGUUCUGGGAUACUGUAAUUCUGAACCUUUCUUGAAUUCAUGAGUUUUGGUAGCAAAGAGGCCAAGCACGUCCACAGGAAUAAUUGGGGACAUAUGUUAGGCUUCUGGCUUCCUGUCCCCAUCAAGGCCACUGGAGAUGGUGGCCUCAAGGCAAAUUCAGGUAAAUUAAUUAUAUAAUUCUCUGUAUAAAAUCCUGUGCUCACCUCAAGAACUAGUGCUAAUGGCCAUUAUUCCUGUAUUUUAUUAUCCUAAUUUAUCAUCCCAAAGAUUUCAUUACCAUUACAUAAAUGUCAAUAAAAUAUUCCUCAUUUAAUUUACCUUUUCAUUAAAAUUAAUAAUUAGCUUUUUGCUCUAUUCUGUCAGUAUAUGACAUACUGUAUAUCUACAUAAUAAACUUAUAAAUAUU